CCUACGGGGAGCAGCAGUGAGGAAUAUUGGUCAAUGCGCGCGAGCCUGAACCAGCCACGUAGCGUGAAGGAUGACUGCCCUACGGGUUGUAAACUUCUUUUAUAAAGGAAUAAAGUGAGGCACGUGUGCCUUUUUGUAUGUACUUUAUGAAUAAGGAUAGGCUAACUCCGUGCCAGCAGCCGAGGUAAUACGGAGGAUCCGAGCGUUGUACGGAUUUAUUGGGGUUAAAGGGAGCGUAGAUGGGUUGUUAAGUCAGUUGUGAAAGUUUGCGGCUCAACCGUAAUAUUGCAAUUGAUACUGGCAGUCUUGAGUACAGUUGAGGUAGGCGGAAUUCGUGGUGUAGCGGUGAAAUGCGUAGAUAUCACGAAGAACUCCGAUUGCGAAGGCAGCUUACUAACCGGCAACUGACAUUGAUGCUCGAAAGUGUGGGUAUCAAACAGGAUUAGAUACCCGUGUAGUC
rnacentral:rRNA from 1 species